rnacentral:lncRNA from 1 species
UUAGUUCCACAACUUAUAUGAGUGUGACCAGUUCUUUUGUUGUUUUGAGCUGUUCUUGUAGUCUUGGAAAAUCUAAAGUAAUGUCAAGCAUUGAAAUUUUAUAAUUGUAUUUACCUUCAUUUUUAUCUACUUGGAAGUACGAGUAAGCAUGGCAUUGGUUAUCAGUGAGCUUAUCUUGUAACAAUCUAGUUAUUAUCUAAAUACAGUGGGGAAAUCAUCACCUAGUCAUCAUCAUAUUAUACUAGUGGGGAUUUAUGGCCUCUUAAGAACUCUCUCUUCUCUCUCUCUCUCNNNNNNNNNUCUCUCUCUCUCUCNNNNNNNNNNNNNNNNNNNNUAAACUAACUAGGGGUAAAGGUAAACGUAACUACUACCUAACGUUACUACUAUUACUACUUAUUAUUACUAGUGGGUAGUUAGUUGUCCGUCUUACGUAACUACUCUCUUCUCUCUCUCUCUCUCUCUCUCUCUCUCUCUAUCUCUCUCUCUCUCUCUCACUACACACAUACACACAAAUGCCCAUAUAUAUAAAUCUAUGAGUGUGUGGGUGCAGACUACACGUACACGUAUUUGCAUGCAUUGGAUGAGUUGUUUUUGUCUUCCGGCUACAAUGACAACACCUUGUACAAAGAAUAAUAAGUAUUUGCUUAUUGCAAUCCUUUAUUCUGAAUCACUGCAAGCCCCCUCUCUUCUUGGAGUGCCCCUAUGAGAUCUUUCCUAUUUGGGUUAAGCAUAGCAGACUACUCAUGGUAUUGUGUACAAAUUUUUAAUGGGCAUACACAGAACACAAGGAGAGAGUGAAAAAGGAAAACCAUAUGCCAGAUGGAGUAAUAAUGUCCCAAGAGUUCUCUCUCUGUCUCUGUCUCUGUCUCUGUCUCUCUCUCUGUUUAUCUAAAAGUUUGACCAAAAUGAUAACUUCCACACACACCUGGAACCAUGCCUUAUAUUUGAUAUUCUGAUAGAUCUGAGGCAUAUUUUGAGAACUCAUUGGACGAAACAAGGGCAAAAAACCAAUAUGUGCAGUGUGAAAUGUAAGGAAAGAUUAGACUAACCCUUAGUUAGGCAAAAGUUCAAAUUUUUAGAAAAAUGAAUGCUUCCCUUGAGAAUGGAGAACAAAUGAAGAAGCACUAAUACAAUAAUGGUCAAUAUUGGAUGGUGCAUCUCAAUACAAC